rnacentral:rRNA from 1 species
UGGGGAAUAUUGCACAAUGGGGGAAACCCUGAUGCAGCGACGCCGCGUGAGCGAAGAAGGCUUUCGAGUCGUAAAGCUCUGUCCUAUGAGAAGAUAAUGACGGUAUCAUAGGAGGAAGCCCUGGCUAAAUACGUGCCAGCAGCCGCGGUAAUACGUAUGGGGCGAGCGUUGUCCGGAAUUAUUGGGCGUAAAGGGUACGUAGGCGGUUUUUUAAGUCAGGUGUCAAAGCGUGGAGCUUAACUCCAUUAAGCACUUGAAACUGAAAGACUUGAGUGAAGGAGAGGAAAGUGGAAUUCCUAGUGUAGCGGUGAAAUGCGUAGAUAUUAGGAGGAAUACCGGUGGCGAAGGCGACUUUCUGGACUUUUAAUGACGCUCAGGUACGAAAGCGUGGGGAGCAAACAGG